CGGACGGGUGAGUAACGCGUGAGAAUCUACCUUCAGGUUGGGGACAACCACUGGAAACGGUGGCUAAUACCGAAUGUGCCGAGAGGUGAAAGGCUUGCUGCCUGAAGAAGAGCUUGCGUCUGAUUAGCUAGUUGGUAGUGUAAGAGACUACCAAGGCGACGAUCAGUAGCUGGUCUGAGAGGAUGAUCAGCCACACUGGGACUGAGACACGGCCCAGACUCCUACGGGAGGCAGCAGUGGGGAAUUUUCCGCAAUGGGCGAAAGCCUGACGGAGCAAUACCGCGUGAGGGAGGAAGGCUCUUGGGUUGUAAACCUCUUUUCUCAGGGAAGAACAAAAUGACGGUACCUGAGGAAUAAGCAUCGGCUAACUCCGUGCCAGCAGCCGCGGUAAUACGGAGGAUGCAAGCGUUAUCCGGAAUGAUUGGGCGUAAAGGGUCCGCAGGUGGCAUUGUAAGUCUGCUGUUAAAGAGUUUGGCUCAACCAAAUAAAAGCAGUGGAAACUACAAAGCUAGAGUGUGGUCGGGGCAGAGGGAAUUCCUGGUGUAGCGGUGAAAUGCGUAGAUAUCAGGAAGAACACCGGUGGCGAAGGCGCUCUGCUAGGCCAAGACUGACACUGAGGGACGAAAGCUAGGGGAGCGAAUGGGAUUAGAUACCCCAGUAGUCCUAGCCGUAAACGAUGGAUACUAGGCGUAGCUCGUAUCGACCCGAGCUGUGCCGGAGCUAACGCGUUAAGUAUCCCGCCUGGGGAGUACGCAGGCAACUGUGAAACUCAAAGGAAUUGACGGGGGCCCGCACAAGCGGUGGAGUAUGUGGUUUAAUUCGAUGCAACGCGAAGAACCUUACCAAGGCUUGACAUGUCACGAAUCCUGUGGAAACAUAGGAGUGCCUUAGGGAGCGUGAACACAGGUGGUGCAUGGCUGUCGUCAGCUCGUGUCGUGAGAUGUUGGGUUAAGUCCCGCAACGAGCGCAACCCUCGUUUUUAGUUGCCAGCAUUAAGAUGGGCACUCUAGAGAGACUGCCGGUGACAAACCGGAGGAAGGUGGGGAUGACGUCAAGUCAGCAUGCCCCUUACGUCUUGGGCUACACACGUACUACAAUGCUCCGGACAAAGGGCAGCUACACAGCGAUGUGAUGCGAAUCUCAUAAACCGGAGCUCAGUUCAGAUCGAACGCUGCAACUCGCCUUCGUGAAAGAGGAAUCGCU
rnacentral:rRNA from 1 species